rnacentral:rRNA from 1 species
UGGUGGAGUGAUUUGUCUGGUUAAUUCCGAUAACGAACGAGACCUUAACCUGCUAAAUAGCCAGGCCGUCUUUGGUAUGGUCGCCGGCUUCUUAGAGGGACUGUCAGUGUCUAACUGACGGAAGUUUGAGGCAAUAACA